rnacentral:rRNA from 1 species
AUUGAACGCUGGCGGCAUGCUUUACACAUGCAAGUCGAACGGUAACAGGCCGCAAGGUGCUGACGAGUGGCGAACGGGUGAGUAAUGCAUCGGAACGUGCCCAGUCGUGGGGGAUAACUACUCGAAAGAGUAGCUAAUACCGCAUACGAUCUAUGGAUGAAAGCGGGGGACCGUAAGGCCUCGCGCGAUUGGGGCGGCCGAUGUCAGAUUAGGUAGUUGGUGGGGUAAAGGCUCACCAAGCCAACGAUCUGUAGCUGGUCUGAGAGGACGACCAGCGACACUGGGACUGAGACACGGCCCAGACUCCUACGGGAGGCAGCAGUGGGGAAUUUUGGACAAUGGGCGCAAGCCUGAUCCAGCAAUGCCGCGUGCAGGAAGAAGGCCUUCGGGUUGUAAACUGCUUUUGUACGGAACGAAACGGCUCUGGUUAAUACCCGGGGCUAAUGACGGUACCGUAAGAAUAAGCACCGGCUAACUACGUG